ACGGGGUGCAGCAGGCGCGAAACCUCUGCAAUGCGCGAAAGCGCGACAGGGCCACCCCGAGUGUUAGGCGCUGAGUCUAGCUUUUCCUUAGUGUAGUGAGCUAGGGGAAUAAGCGGGGGGCAAGCCUGGUGUCAGCCGCCGCGGUAAUACCAGCUCCGCGAGUGGUCGGGACGAUUAUUGGGCCUAAAGCGUUCGUAGCCGGCCUAUCAAGUCUCUGGUUAAAUUUCAAGGCUUAACCUUGAGCGUGCUGGAGAUACUGUUAGGCUAGGGGGCGGGAGAGGUUGAGGGUACUUCACGGGUAGGGGCGAAAUCCUAUAAUCCGUGAAGGACCACCAGUGGCGAAGGCGCUCAGCUGGAACGCGCCCGACGGUGAGGGACGAAAGCCAGGGGAGCAAAGGGGAUUAGAUACCCCCGUAGUCCUGGCUGUAAACGAUGCGGGCUAGGUGUUGGGUUGGCUUCGUGCCAACCCGGUGCCGCAGCGAAGGCGAUAAGCCCGCCGCCUGGGAAGUACGGCUGCAAGGCUGAAACUUAAAGGAAUUGGCGGGGGAGCAC
rnacentral:rRNA from 1 species